AAAACGACUCUCGGCAAUGGAUAUCUCGGCUCUCGCAUCGAUGAAGAGCGCAGCGAAAUGCGAUACGUGGUGCGAAUUGCAGAAUCCCGCGAACCAUCGAGUCUUUGAACGCAAGUUGCGCCCGAGGCCAACCGGCCGGCCAAGGGCACGUCUGCCUGGGCGUCAAGC
rnacentral:rRNA from 1 species